CGAACGCUGGCGGCGUGCCUAAUACAUGCAAGUCGAGCGGACUGAUUAAGAGCUUGCUCUUCUGACGUUAGCGGCGGACGGGUGAGUAACACGUGGGCAACCUGCCCUGUAGAUCGGGAUAACACCGAGAAAUCGGUGCUAAUACCGGGUAAUAUCUGAGAUCACAUGAUCUUAGGUUAAAAGAUGGCUCCGGCUAUCACUACAGGAUGGGCCCGCGGCGCAUUAGCUAGUUGGUAAGGUAAUGGCUUACCAAGGCGACGAUGCGUAGCCGACCUGAGAGGGUGAUCGGCCACACUGGGACUGAGACACGGCCCAGACUCCUACGGGAGGCAGCAGUAGGGAAUCUUCCGCAAUGGACGAAAGUCUGACGGAGCAACGCCGCGUGAGUGAUGAAGGGUUUCGGCUCGUAAAGCUCUGUUGUUAGGGAAGAAACAGUACCGAACGAACUAGGUCGGUACCUUGACGGUACCUAACCAGAAAGCCACGGCUAACUACGUG
rnacentral:rRNA from 1 species